rnacentral:rRNA from 1 species
GACGUAGGGCGCGAGCGUUGUCCGGAUUUAUUGGGCGUAAAGAGCUCGUAGGCGGCUUGUCGCGUCGACCGUGAAAACUUGGGGCUCAACCCCAAGCCUGCGGUCGAUACGGGCAGGCUAGAGUUCGGUAGGGGAGACUGGAAUUCCUGGUGUAGCGGUGAAAUGCGCAGAUAUCAGGAGGAACACCGAUGGCGAAGGCAGGUCUCUGGGCCGAUACUGACGCUGAGGAGCGAAAGCAUGGGGAGCGAACAGG